GAGCGGAAAGGCCCUUCGGGGUACUCGAGCGGCGAACGGGUGAGUAACACGUGAGCAACCUGCCCCUGGCUCUGGGAUAGCCUCCGGAAACGGGGAUUAAUACCGGAUAUGACAAAACCAUGCAUGGGGGGUGGUGGAAAGUUUUUCGGCUGGGGUGGGGCUCGCGGCCUAUCAGCUUGUUGGGGGGGUGACGGCCCACCAAGGCGACGACGGGUAGCCGGCCUGAGAGGGCGACCGGCCACACUGGGACUGAGACACGGCCCAGACUCCUGCGGGAGGCAGCAGUGGGGAAUAUUGCGCAAUGGGCGGAAGCCUGACGCAGCGACGCCGCGUGGGGGAUGAAGGCCUUCGGGUUGUAACCUCUUUCACCAGGGACGAAGCUUGGGUGACGGUACCUGGGGAAGAAGCGCCGGCUAACUACGUGCCAGCACACGCGGUA
rnacentral:rRNA from 1 species